rfam:Poecilia formosa, whole genome shotgun sequence.
GUUUCUGUAGUGUAGUGGAUAUCAUCUUUGCUUUGCAUGCAAAAGGUCUCUGGUUCAAAACCAGACAGAAACA